rnacentral:rRNA from 1 species
UAGUCUGCAACUCGACUACAUGAAGCUGGAAUCGCUAGUAAUCGCGAAUCAGAAUGUCGCGGUGAAUACGUUCCCGGGUCUUGUACACACCGCCCGUCACACCAUGGGAGUCGGAAAUGCCCGAAGUCUGUGACCCAACCUACGGGAGGGAGCAGCCGAAGGCAGGUCGGAUGACUGGGGUGAAGUCGUAACAAGGUAUC